GUUCUCCGGCUGGAGGAGCUUCCUCUCUGCAGCUGCAGGAUGGAAGCUCCUCGGAUCGACAGCAGCGGCCAGCGCAGCAGCAGACAGUGCAUGGCCACGGAGAGCAUCAACGGAGAGCUGCGGGCGUGCACCAGCUGGACGGUGAAAGGCGAGACCAUGCGACCGUCCAGCCGCGUCUCCCUCAUGGUGCUCUGCGACGUCCAUCGCUCACACAUGGUCAAACACCACUGCUGUCCGGGCUGUGGGUACUUCUGCAUCGCAGGCACGUUUCUGGAGUGCUGUCCCGACCAGCGCAUCGCGCACCGCUUCCACCGCGGCUGCGUGACCGUGCUGAGCAGCGGGCGCAGCCGCGCCAACGGCGGCGGCAUGAUCUUCUGCCCCCACUGCGGGGAGGACGCCUCGGAGGCCCAGGAGAUCACCCUCCCGUCCUCCAGCGCCGCCGCCACCGUCGUCACCAUGUCCGCCUCCUCCACCACCACGCCGUCGCUGCCCCUGCCGCCCCCUCCGGCCCCUCCCUCAACCGUGGGGCCGUCGCUAUGCAUGCCGAACGGGAAGCCGGUCUGCCCGAGCGCGCUUCCGCCUGGAACCAGCAGGGCGGCGCUGCAGAAAGCAAUUCUGACCCAGGACUCAGAGAGGAGGAAGAAGUUGAGGUUUCACCCUCGACAACUCUAUCCAGCCGCCAAGCAAGGGGAGGGGCAAAGAGUUCUGCUGAUGCUGAUGGAGGGAAUCGAUCCCACGUACCAGCCGGACUCCCAGAAUCGGCGCUCCGCUCUACACGCUGCAGCUCAAAGAGGUUUACUGGAGAUCUGCUACAUGCUGAUACAGGCCGGCGCCAACGUGGACGCCAAGGACAAAGAAAUGAGGACUCCUCUGCUGGAGGCCGUCAUCAACAACCACGUGGAGGUGGCCCGCUACCUGGUCCAGAGCGGAGCCUGCGUCUAUCACGUCGUGAGUGCCGGGACUCGAACGCGACGACGGAUACACCGGCCUUCACCACGCCGCCAAGACAACGGGGGCUGGACGCCCAUCAUCUGGGCUGCCGAGCACAAACACGUGGAGGUGAUCAAGGCUCUGCUGAACCGAGGAGCAGACGUCUCCAUCACGGAUAAGGAGAUGAACGUUUGUCUCCACUGGGCGGCGUACGCGGGAAGUGUGGACAUCGCCGAGAUGGUGUUGAACUCCGGCUGCUCGCUCGCCUCCGUCAACGUCCACGGCGACACGCCGCUGCACAUCGCCGCCAGGGAGGGAUACCUGGACUGUGUGACGUUGUUCCUCAGCAGAGGUGCAGACAUCGACAUCAUGAACAAAGAGGGGGACACGCCGCUCAGCCUGGCCCGGGCCGACACCCCCGUCGUUUGGCCGGCUCUCCGUCACGCUUCCCGCCGCGUCUUUAGGGACAUCGCCCAAGGCUACGAGAACGUGCCCAUCCCCUGCGUGAACGGCGUGGACGAGGAGGGCUGCCCGUCCGACUACAAAUACGUUUCGGAGAACUGCGAAACAUCGGCCAUGAACAUCGACCGGAACAUCACGCACCUGCAGCACUGCGGCUGCACGGACGACUGCUCCUCCAGUAACUGCCUCUGUGGGCAGCUCAGCAUCCGGUGCUGGUACGACAAGGACCAGCGGCUGCUGCAGGAGUUCAACAAGAUCGAGCCUCCGCUCAUCUUUGAGUGCAACAUGGCGUGCUCCUGUUACCGCAGCUGCAAGAACAGAGUGGUUCAGGCCGGCAUCAAAGUCCGGCUGCAGCUCUACAGGACGGAGAAGAUGGGCUGGGGGGUCCGAGCUCUGCAGGACAUCCCCCAAGGGAGCUUCAUCUGCGAGUACGUCGGAGAGCUGAUUUCUGACGCCGAGGCCGACGUCCGAGAAGACGACUCCUACCUGUUCGACCUGGAUAACAAGGACGGGGAGGUGUACUGCAUAGACGCCCGUUACUACGGCAACAUCAGCCGCUUCAUCAACCACCUGUGCGACCCGAACCUCAUCCCGGUGCGGGUCUUCAUGCUGCACCAGGACCUGCGCUUCCCGCGCAUCGCCUUCUUCAGCUCGCGGGACAUCCUGAGCGGGCAGGAGCUGGGGUUCGACUACGGCGACCGCUUCUGGGACAUCAAGAGCAAGUACUUCACCUGCCAGUGCGGCUCGGAGAAAUGCAAACACUCGGCCGAGGCCAUCGCCCUGGAGCAGAGCAGGCUGGCCCGGCUGGAGGCCGGAUCGGAGUCGGGGGAUUUAACGUCUGCGUUAACUUCUUCACUUCCUCGUAAAGAUUUAUGA
ensembl:lncRNA